UGGGGAAUUUUGGACAAUGGGGGCAACCCUGAUCCAGCCAUGCCGCGUGAGUGAAGAAGGCCUUCGGGUUGUAAAGCUCUUUCGGACGGGACGAAAUGGUUACGGUGAAUAACUGUGACUGAUGACGGUACCGUAAUAAGAAGCACCGGCUAACUACGUGCCAGCAGCCGCGGUAAUACGUAGGGUGCGAGCGUUAAUCGGAAUUACUGGGCGUAAAGCGUGCGCAGGCGGUUCGCCAAGUCAGGUGUGAAAUCCCCGGGCUUAACCUGGGAAUUGCGCUUGAAACUAGCGGGCUUGAGUGUGGCAGAGGGGGGUGGAAUUCCACGUGUAGCAGUGAAAUGCGUAGAGAUGUGGAGGAACACCGAUGGCGAAGGCAGCCCCCUGGGUCAACACUGACGCUCAUGCACGAAAGCGUGGGGAGCAAACAGGAUUAGAUACCCGAGUAGUCCCUGAGCGGGCUGGCAAGGCGCAU
rnacentral:rRNA from 1 species